AAAUUCAUAGGAUUAUUGAA
rnacentral:snRNA from 1 species